rnacentral:tRNA from 1 species
CGGGGCGUGGCGCAGCCUGGUAGCGCGUCGGAUCUGGGCUCCGAAGGCCGCCGGUUCGAACCCGGCCGCCCCGACCA